CCCCCCCCCUCGAAUUUCCCUACAACCAAACUCCUGGUUCUGACUUUGCUGACCAGCUAAGAUUUACACAAAACUCUUCAACAUAUUUUUCAAGGAUAGAAGUCUGCUUGGACUUGUGGUCCAAAGUUUUUAUAUAUAUUUAUACUAAAACUAUAAUAUUUGAUAUGAAAUGAAGGUGCAUUUACUAUCAUAUUUAAUUCAGUAUAAAUGCUCAAUUGCACAUGAGUAGACACACAAAUAUUUGAAAAAUUUCAUUUUAUGUGUUUUUCAAAUAAAGCAUUUGAAAAAUCAUUGGUGCAAGAUGAUAUUUAUAAUGACAAGAAGGUUUCAUCUCAAUACACAUUCACAAAAAGGGCGGAUUGAAUAAGAGCACUCGUUUGAAAUCGAAAAGAAAAAGAUGAGUGUAAAUCUUACAUUUUUGCUGGCUAUGACCACUAUGUUGGCCUUGGAGGCAAAUGCUUCUAACAACAGAUGUCCUUCAGGACACUGGUGUACGAAAAGAGGCGUGCAGCUACAUUCGCUGAAACCAAAAAGUGAGGCGCGUGGGUGUCCCCUUGGAUACUGGUGCCAAGCGGCAGAUGAGGUCCUACGCGAUUUGGAAGGUGAUAUCAUACAGCGCAUUCAUGACGUGCAGAUUACGUGUCCAGUUGGAUUCCGGUGCAAGAGAAGUGUAGACGAUCUAAAUAGUUUACCAAAGCUCAUAAACUGCCCGCCUGGAUACUGGUGCAAGAAAUAGGGAGCGCUUUAAGAAAAUAUUUCUGAACUUUAUCUACUGUCUAAAAUAACAUUAUUACACUGUUAGCCAUAUAUUAAUUCCAACUUGUAUGCAUUAAUUAAUAAAUAUGAAUUAUAUAUUCAAAUCAUUUAAAGAUGCUUUCUUAAGCUUGAAUAUAAUAUAUAAUAUUUGUAUCUUUUUUUGCCUAACCUGGAUAAUAAAUUUUGAACUGAGAAAACCCAUACAUAUUUUGUUGUUUCUAUUAAAUUUACUAUUCAUUUCUUAAAUGGCCGAAAGGCUUACUUUUCUUUCUAGCUUUGACAAGAUAAUGUUGUUAUUGCACGACUUAUUAUUUAUAUCUUGUAUUAAAGUCAAAUUUACUUGUUAACAGAA